UGGGGAAUAUUGGACAAUGGGGGCAACCCUGAUCCAGCAAUGCCGCGUGAGUGAUGAAGGCCCUAGGGUUGUAAAGCUCUUUUACCCGGGAAGAUAAUGACUGUACCGGGAGAAUAAGCCCCGGCUAACUCCGUGCCAGCAGCCGCGGUAAUACGGAGGGGGCUAGCGUUGUUCGGAAUUACUGGGCGUAAAGCGCACGUAGGCGGCUUUGUAAGUUAGAGGUGAAAGCCCGGGGCUUAACCCCGGAAUUGCCCUUGAGACUGUAUCGCUUGAACACGGGAGAGGUGAGUGGAAUUCCGAGUGUAGAGGUGAAAUUCGUAGAUAUUCGGAAGAACACCAGUGGCGAAGGCGGCUCACUGGACCGUAGUUGACGCUGAGGUGCGAAAGCGUGGGGAGCAAACA
rnacentral:rRNA from 1 species